rnacentral:rRNA from 1 species
AUUGAACGCUAGCGGCAGGCCUAACACAUGCAAGUCGAACGAGUGGCGGACGGGUGAGUAAUGUCUGGGAAACUGCCUGAUGGAGGGGGAUAACUACUGGAAACGGUAGCUAAUACCGCAUACCAUCGGAUGUGCCCAGAUGGGAUUAGCUAGUGGGUGGGGUAACGGCUCACCAAGGCGACGAUCCCUAGCUGGUCUGAGAGGACGACCAGCCACACUGGAACUGAGACACGGUCCAGACUCCGACGGGAGGCAGCAGUGGGGAAUAUUGCACAAUGGGCGCAAGCCUGAUGCAGCCAUGCCGCGUGUAUGAUGAAGGCCUUCGGGUUGUAAAGUACUUUUAGCGGGGAGGCGGUACCCGCAGAAGAAGCACCGGCUAACUACGUGCCAGCAGCCGCGGUAAUUC